rnacentral:telomerase_RNA from 1 species
CGCCGAUGACAGAUUCGCCCGCCUCCUCCAAUCUUGCUUCUCCCUCUUGCCUCCAGUGCUGUUUGACAGCACACUACAAUGAGCGAGAAAGGCGUCAGGCGCGAAACGAACCCAGCCACACAGGAAACCCUCCCCACAACACCACACAAAUGCAGCAUUCAACCCGUUUUCGAUCUUGCGCCCGCCUCCUUGGCUCUCAACCGCUCCCGUUCUUCCCUCCAGAUCUUUUCUGGACCUCGACUAGCUCCCUCGGAAGCAUGUCGGUCAAAGAUGCAGAGGGCGGAACCGAGCGUUGACGCUGGGAGGUAGCCUUGAAAAGGGCUUUAAAGCGGUACAAGACGAUCCUAACCCUAAGUUGAUCCAUGCAGAGUCUUGCAAGGCCUUUCUCUCGGGUGCUUUGCCGUCUCGCCAAGAUGCGGGAAAGAAGGCAAAGCGCCGACGUCGAGAGGAAGCGUCUUUGGCGAGUGUAGGAGGUCCCUCUCGAGGGAGGAGGUGUUCGGGGAAUCCCACACGAUUGGGAACCCGCCGGCUCUUGUUCCACACUGUUCGCCCUCUGCCAACGUCGAUUGCAUCUGGUGCAAGCACUCCUCGUUUGCAGGUUUGCGUUCUUGACCCAGUGUCGGCGAAACACUCUCUGUUUCCUUAUGCAACGCAUAAGGGACGCGUCGUUGGAGUGCGCACCGGUUUUGUUGUUCCGUCCUUCUUGUCGCCGCAAGUACCAACGAAGGACGAAUGCCCGUUUGACCGUUGUGCGCGCGGGUGUUUCCGGUUGGGGUCUGUUUCCGCUGCCGAGCCUUUCUCUGCAUAGGGAGAAGCGGGGUCUCGAAGGAAGUGGGCCGUUUCUCGAGGCGACGUCAAGGACCUGGCUCGGGUACGUGCGGGGCUUACUCUUCCCCAUCCCUUCCUUUCCAUUGUGUCGACAGCAUCGAAGCGUCGAUCCAGCUUCCCCGCGGAGCAGCACACGAACGCGCCCAACCAGCACCGUCCCAGGGGACAGCAAACACAGCUCUACGGAGGGUAAAGGAGCACUCGACAUCCAGUGCCCCUUCUGCAUCUCGGCCCUCUCGGACGCUCUUGCUCCAAACGCGCGCGCCGACAUACGCUGUCGCUCGAUCCACCGGCCUCUGCGCUCCUGCAGUGCAAGACGGGUCGGUAGAGGUCGCGAGGUGCAUCGUCAGCGCGCGUGGGGUGAAAGUUUCGAAGAGGAACGGGAAGGCAAGGGCGGGCGGGGUGUAGUGACGUGCUCCGAGUGUUGUAGAGCUUCGCUUGCUCGCUAUGUGUCCCAGUGGAGGUGUAAGGUCGGGCGCGUGCAUGCUGCUCAGCGGAAAGCUACACAUCACGAGAGCGGGAGGGAUGGCGGAAGAGGUGUUGUAAUUUUUCUCACCUUUGGGUGU